AUGUCAAGUGUAAGUGCAGACACAUUGUUGAUGUUGAAUACUGGAGUAAGAAUGAUGAUCAAUGCUCUAAUGAACCUACAUGAUGUUGCAUUACUAUUAGGAUAUAGGAGGCUGACUUCUCGUGGCAUCGCUAGAUCUGGUGGCCAGCCGUUGUCGUUGCCUGUCCUCUUUGACGCGAGACCACAUGGAGAAGGGGCUCGUGGCAGCGCCUGGAUUGGUGGCCAGCCAGCCGGCAUCAUGGAGCUCGACAUGUCUCAGGCCUGUUCGCCACAUAACUUACAGUCCAGGUCGUUGACAUAUUCGGGUUCUAGGUCACAGAAACAAAAUAUUUUGGCUCAGCAAUUUCAUGCAUUAGAUAUCUUUUUGUGA
rnacentral:rRNA from 1 species